UGUUUCAGUUGAAGGGAGCAAGUGGUCUAGAGAUUGGUGCAAGCUUAGAGCCCUAGCAGACAAAGAACAAAGCCAUCGCAGAAGGCUAAGAAGAUAUAUCCUUAUUUAGAAUCUGUCCAUUGGCUUUCAAUUCAAGGUUAAAUGGCAACCAAGUACACCAGCUAAUACUGUCCACAAAACUUGUCGACAAAUCGAACCAGACACUGAAUAAGUAGAUUCACAACAUUCAUUCAUCAACCAAUUUCAAGCUUCUUAUAUCCCCGCACCUUGAGGGACUUUCAAGCUGCUGUUCAUCAAGACAUAUAUCCCGCUGCUCCUAGGACAGCUUGGUAAUAUGGUUACUGAAGAUCAUUUGCAGGCAAUACAUCGAUCGGCUGAGAAGUGAGGUCACUCAAGUAGUUUGUUGAAUGGUGUAAACGGAGGGAUUCCAACCGGAUCAAAUCCUUUGCAUAACAGGUAGAGAAACGGGAACAACUUAUGUUCAAUGAUUCACUUUUUUCUUUUCUUUUCUUUUUCAAGUUCUUCUUGAUGUUUUUCAUUUUGAAAUAUGAAUAGAUUCUGCCUACAAAGAAGAUGGUCUGUGGAAAUAAAAAUGGAAACUGAAAACUGGGAAGAUGAUGAAUUUUUUGUUGUUGUUUUAAAAUUAAAUCAAAUUAGUCUAGAAUUAUUUAAUUACUAUUUUUAUUUUACAUUUUGGUAAUUGUAUUUUUCUCGAAAUAUCAAAUAUAUAUCGUCUUAAUUGAUGUGUAAAA